UUCACUGGCUGAGAAGAAACGAAACUUAGGCUACUGUACUAGUAUUCCAGAGUGACGAUACUCAUCCUUUCGCUUCAUAUAGGGACGCCAACAGGUACUGUUGUUGUAAAUGUGUCAACUUCCGUAGGCUACUUUAUACUUCUGCUUAAUACAAACAAUUAUUGUACCUGGGCAGGGAACGGCGUAAUAUUAACACAUAUUAUAGCUGGGCAGGGAACGCGCAUGGUGUGACAGCAGGCCAGCACACAAGGUGUUCAUUAUCAGUGUGGCCACCUGAGCAUUGUUGCUUUAUGUGCUGGUGCAACUUUACAACUAUUGAAAUGAGUGGCGUAUCCCCGUCACCGUGCUGAUGACCAGGGAGCUGGAGAUGAGGGCAAAGCCACUGAGGAAGAAGGUGGCCGUGUAGGUGCCUGUGGUGUCAACCAGCCAGCCUGCAGAGGGAGGACGAAUGAGGUAUGAACAUUCACUUUGGCUUUCACUUGAUGGAAGAAAAAAAACACAUGUCUUGUGGACUUCCUGACUAAUGCAUGUGUUAAUACAUUCAUAAUGAAUCAUUUUAUUCAGUGGUGGGUAAUUUAACAAACUAUUUAACAAACUAUUGCUGCACUUAUGAAACAAUAUUUUAAAAGUAACGUCACGUGAACAUUUGCAACUUUUGUCAUUAAUUGACCAAUCAAGCAUUGAUGGGGUAUUGUUCAUACCAAGAUACAUCCUUGACAAAACAUUAAAUCAAAUCAAAUUUUAUUUGUCACAUACGCAUGGUUAGCAGAUGUUAGUGCGAGUGUAGCGAAAUGCUUGUGCUUCUAGUUCUGACAAUGCAGUAAUAACCAACAAGUAAUCUAACUAACAAUUCCAAAACUACUACCUACUACCUUACACAAGUGUAAGGGGAUAAAGAAUAUGUACAUAAAGAUAUAUGAAUGAGUGAUGGUACAGAGCGGCAUAGGCAAGAUACAGUAGAUGGUAUUGAGUGCAGUAUAUACAUAUGAGAUGAGUAUGUAAACAAAGUGGCAUAGUUAAAGUGGCUAGUGAUACAUGUAUUACAUAAGGAUGCAGUAGAUGAUAUAGAGUACAGUAUCUACGUAUACAUAUGAGAUGAAUAAUGUAUGGUAUGUAAACAUUAUAUUAGGUAGCAUUGUUUAAAGUGGCUAGUGAUAUAUUUGACAUAAUUUCCCAUUAUUAAAGUGGCUGGAGUUGAGUCAGUGUGUUGGCAGCAGCCACUCAAUGUUAGUGGUGGCUGUUUAACAGUCUGAUGGCCUUGAGAUAGAAGCUGUUUUUCAGUCUCUCGGUCACAGCUUUGAUAUCAUCCAAAGGUAAACUUUUGCAACAUUGGUCAUUAAUUGACCAAUGAAACAUCAGUGGUGUACUCUUCAGGCCAGUUUCCCAGACACAGAUGGAAGUUCUCCAUUGAAAUAGAUUUUUAGUCCAAGAAUAGGUUUAGUCAGCAACUACAAAUCAUCUCAGAAUCAGGACUGAAUAAUUGGGUCACUUUAGAAUUACAUAAGGUUACUUACUGUAAGUGAGAUUGUUUUCUGUUGAAUUAGUUCAAAGAGACCAGCAGGCUUACUCUACUUGAUCAGAGGGAGUAUAUGGGAGGUCCAGAAAGAAGUUAAAUGUCUACUAACUGUUUACAACUUGCAAAUGUGGUCUUGUACCACUAAAAGCGUUCAUAAAGACCACUUUUGCGAUCAGCAAACAACGUGGAGACAUUUACCGCUAUCUCUUUUGUACACCACCUGUUCUACGAUUGGUUAGUACUUACCUCCUAUUGGAGGGCUGAGCAGGUAAGGGAUGGCAUGUAGGAAGUAGACUAUCCCUAGGGCGGAGGAGAGGUUAUGUGUCCCCACAAUGUCCGAGGUCACCACAGGUAUGAGGGCAACGUAGGCGCCAUCAAAGUACCCAUAAAACACAGAGAAAGGCACCAGCAGGGCGAACGUCCGCAGGAGAGGGAUGAAGAGGCAGCACACCCCCUCCAUGCCCACUGCUAUCAUGUAGCACACAUUACGAUACUUCUUCAGGCACCUGGGGGUGAGAAAAACAGUGGACAAAAUUAGUCUAAAAACACAGAUUUUUCAUGUUGACCAUCUGAACGAUUGGCGGCUUAACAUCCAAUGGCUUGUCAGAGGAAACCAGCUUUAUCUUCAAGAUACAAUUGGGUAACAGCUCCAUUUCGUUAGAGUAAAACUGGGUGACAAACAGUUCACUAAAAGGUGAGAUUACAAGAAACGACUGAAAACUCUACAUGUGACUGUUAAACACUCUGAAUAUGAAUCUUUACUGGAUAAGAAAAGGCUGGACCCAUAUCUAUGUUAAUGCAUAGCUUCUCAUUUUCACACAAAACCUAAAGAAAGAAACAACGCAACAAAUUAAGGUACAUUUUGAACCUGUCUUCCGGUCCUAAUAGAGGUACGUUUUAAACCUGUCUUCCGGUCCUAAUAGAGGUACGUUUUAAACCUGUCUUCCGGUCCUAAUAGAGGUACGUUUUAAACCUGUCUUCCGGUCCUAAUAAAGGUACGUUUUGAACCUGUCUUCCAGUCCUAAUAAAGGUACGUUUUAAACCUGUCUUCCGGUCCUAAUAAAGGUACAUUUUGAACCUGUCUUCCGGUCCUAAUAGAGGUACGUUUUAAACCUGUCUUCCAGUCCUAAUAAAGGUAUGUUUUAAACCUGUCUUCCGGUCCUAAUAAAGGUACGUUUUGAACCUGUCUUCCGGUCCUAAUAAAGGUAUGUUUUAAACCUGUCUUCCAGGCCUAAUAAAGGUAUGUUUUGAACCUGUCUUCCAGUCCUAAUAAAGGUAUGUUUUGAACCUGUCUUCCGGUCCUAAUAAAGGUAUGUUUUGAACCUGUCUUCCGGUCCUAAUAAAGGUACGUUUUGAACCUGUCUUCCGGUCCUAAUAAAGGUAUGUUUUAAACCUGUCUUCCAGGCCUAAUAAAGGUAUGUUUUGAACCUGUCUUCCGGUCCUAAUAAAGGCAUGUUUUGAACCUGUCUUCCAGUCCUAAUAAAGGUAUGUUUUGAACCUGUCUUCCAGUCCUAAUAAAGGUACGUUUUGAACCUGUCUUCCGGUCCUAAUAAAGGUAUGUUUUGAACCUGUCUUCCGGUCCUAAUAAAGGUAUGUUUUGAACCUGUCUUCCAGUCCGACUAAAGGUACAUUUUGAACCUGUCUUCCGGUCCAAAUAAAGGUAUGUUUUGAACCUGUCUUCCGAUCCAAAUAAAGGUUGAACCUGUCUUCUGGUCCAAAUAAGGUUGAACCUGUCUUCCGGUCCGAAUAAAGGUACGUUUUGAACCUGUCUUCCGGUCCUAAUAAAGGUACGUUUUGGACCUGUCUUCCAGUCCUAAUAAAGGUAUGUUUUGAACCUGUCUUCCGGUCCUAAUAAAGGUACGUUUUGAACCUGUCUUCCGGUCCUAAUAAAGGUAUGUUUUGAACCUGUCUUCUGGUCCGAAUAAAGGAAGGCCGGCCUAUUAAAGAGCAAGGGUGAUUCGUGGAAUGAAAAUACCUAUAUUGUGUUGGCAUACUCAAUGGAACAACAUCUUUAAAACUUUGGCUUACCUCCUGUCUACGAGCCAGCCGAAGGUGAUGUUCCCCACGAUGUCAAUGACCCCCAGGAUGGACAUGAGGAAGGCGGCCUGGUGGUGGCUCACACCCACGUCCAGUGCAUAUGGAACCAGGUAGACGAAGGGCAGGCUGCAGCCACUGGCUAGGAACAAGAAGCUCACUGCCAGCAUCAGGAAGUCAGGCAUGAGCAGGAAGCAGUACUCCUGCAUGGACUGGAAGCAGAAGCAGCGGUGGCUGUUGUUGUUGUUGUUGUUGAUCGCCAGUGAUUCCUCUAACAUGCUAUCCACCGGAGCUUUCACCCCAUAUCCACACUCGGUGUCCAACGGGACUGGACCAUGAGCCUCCUCUUCUUCUUUCAGAGUGAUAGGGCGCAGUAAUGCCCCACAAACACACAGGUUGGCAACAACACCCCCUAGGAUGAGCAGGGCCCCACGCCAUGAGUAGUGCUCUAUGAGUAUCUGGACGGCAGGGGCCAGGAUGAAGGUCCCGAUGCCACUGCCUGACAUGGCGAUCCCGUACGCCAGGGCUUUCCUCUCACAGAAAUAUGAGCCCACCAUGGCUAAGGCAGGGGUGUAGCAGAGGGCAAAUCCAAUACCUGUAAAUCCAAAGACGAUAAGGUUUUUGUUGUUUUUCUAUGAGACAUCCCAGGGCAUUCCUUUUGUCCCUGAAUUACAUUAUUUGCAUGAUGUAUAGGGGCCCUAAUGAUAAUAAUAAUAAUAAUAAUACAUUGGAUUUAAAGUGCCAUAAAGGGGACAGCACUGAGCUAGCCUGCAACAUCACUUCCUGGAUUAGCUCAAACUGUGCAUGUUGUGUCCACAGAAACCUCCUACAUGAGACGCCAUCUCAACCGACUUCCUUGGCUUCAAAUGCGCUAUAUAUAUAUAUAUAUAUAUAUAUGAAUGGACAAAGCCAUCAAACAUGUGACAUUCAUUCCUAUGUGAAGACUCAAUAGCGCAUCAUAUACUAUGAAUGCACUAUAUAUAUAUAUAUAUAUAUAUAUAUAUAUAUAUAUAUAUAUAUAUAUAUAUAUAGUGCAUUCGAGAAAGUAUUCAGACCCCUUCACAUUUUGCACAUUUUGUUACAUUACAGCCUUAUUCUAAAAUUGAUUAAAUUAGACACAUAUCUGGGGAAGGGUACCAAAAAAUGUCUGCAGCAUUGACGGUCCCCAACAAAACAGUGGCCUCCAUCAUUCUUAAAUGGAAGAAGUUUGGAACCACCAAGACUCUUCCUAGAGCUGGCCACCCGGCCAAACUUUUGGAGUUUGCCAAAAGGCACCUAAAGGACUCUCGGACCAUGAGAAACAAGAUUCUCUGGUCUGAUGAAAUCAAGAUUGAACUCUUUGGCCUGAAUGCCAAGCUUCACGUCUGAAGGAAACCAGGCACCGCUCAUCACCUGGCCAAUACCAUCCCUAUGGUGAAGUAUGGUGGUGGCAGCAUCAUGCAGUGGGGAUGUUUUUCAGUGGCAGGGACUUGGAGACUAGUCAGGAUCAAGGGAAAGAUGAACGGAGCAAAGAACAGAGAGAAUCCUAGAUGAAAACCUGCUCCAGAGCACCCAGGACCUGAGACUGGGUCGAAGGUUCACCUUCCAACAGGACAACGACCCUAAGCACACAGCCAAGACAAUGCAGGACUGGCUUCGGGACAAGUCUCUGAAUGUCCUUGAGUGACCCAGCCAGAGCCCGGAUUAAUAUCUCUGGAGAGACCUGAAAAUAGCUGUGCAGCGACAUUCCCCAUCCAACCUGACAGAGCUUGAGAGGAUCUACAGAGAGGAAUGGGAGAAACUCCCCAAAUACAGGUGUGCCAAGCUUGUGGUGUCAUACCCGAGAAGACCCGAGGCUGUAAUCGCUGCCAAAGGUGCUUCAACAAUGUACUGAGUAAAGGAUCUGAAUACUUAUGUUAAUGUGAUAUUUCAGUUUUUUUCAAAUGAUACAUUUGCACACAAAAAACACACAAAAAAUGUGUUUGCUUUGUCAUUAUGAGGUAUUAUGUGUAGACUGAUGAGGGGAAAAAACUAUUUAAUGCAUUUUAGAAUAAGACUGUACCGUGGAAAAACUCAAGGGGUCUGAAUACUUUCCGAAUGCACUGUACAGUCAUUGGGGGGACCCACCUGUGAGGACCCCCAGGGUGAGGUACAGGUACUCCAGGCUGGUAGCGAAAGAGCUGAGGACCAGGCCGAUAGAGGACAGAAAGCCACCAAGGAUCACAGCGAUGCGGCACGACAGACGGUUCCCAAUGAAGCUGCCUAGAGGAGCUGUCAAUCACAAAGUACACAUGUUAAUAUGGGAUUGUCUGCUGCACUACAGUAGUACAGUCAGUGCUCAUGAGUGGGGAUGGCUUGGUGGGUCUGAGGUACUGGAAGGCAUGACAAAAAAAAUGCCAUAGGCAAAGAGCUUUGAUCUGGUCGGACAAUUCAAGCCCGACCCUACCAGAGCCCUACAUAAAAAAGAUUUUAUGAGCCCAAGCCUAAAUUACAAAACAUGAUUGUGCCCUAACGUUUGUACAAUAUAUUGUCCUAACGCAUAUUACGCAUGGCAACAAAACAUAAAAGCACACUUUUAAGAGGUCUUUGAAUAAUUUGGUAAAUAAUUGGUCUAGGCUAGUGAAACAAACUCUAGUAGGCCUAUCAUCUUUGAGUGUGGACUUCAUUAUUAUGCAUAUACUGUAUGGAUUGGUUAGGGUAGACUAUAUCGACAAUAUUGAUGUUCCCGAACAGAUUUCAGUUGGUUUUCAAUGUGGUGGCUUAAAUGGGCUACUGUCUGUUUAUCAAACCGCAGAUGCGUUCCCGUCUGCGCUCUAUAGGCCAACAUUCUACCGCCAACAACGUGUCAUAUAUUCAACCGCAAAUAAUGUUACAUACCAGAACAAUCCUAUAAGAAAAAAGACAACUAAAAGGCAUAUUAAAUCAUUUGAGAUAAAUGUUAAAGUGCAAGGAUGGAGAGAGUUGCAUCUUGUCUAUCAGAGCAGAGAAAAUGAUAGGCUACAGAUGCACGUUCUCUUUCUGUUUCACCGCGGCAACUGCCACAUCGUCUACAAGGUUGUGGAAGCCUAAACCAAAUCCCGGCUGCCCUAAUCAAUUCUCAGAAUAUCAGGCUCGGGCUAAAACUCUGUGUUUUCACAUUUAUGUUUUUUUGGGGCAGUAGGAUAAUUAAUGAGGAGGAGUCAUGGAUUUAACUCUGAACGCUCUUAUUCAAAUUGUCACAUUGCAAACUGUGAAUAUAAUACCACUAGAGUUACUGGAUCCGAGCACAUAGUUUCCGGAACACAGUCUUACAAAACUCAGUACAGUAUGUUCUUAGUUGUUUUACCUCUGCCAAAGAUAGGUGUAUCAUGAUUGAUAUAUGGUUGGUGAACAAUGCCAAGUACAUCUUGUACUCUGAUUUGACAAAUAUGAUGAGUCAUAUGCUGAGUAAAAAAGAGCAGGAGGGAAAUACACAUCCAGGUUGAGAACUGAAAAGCUUAUGUGUCAUUGCGCAGGGGGUAAUAUGAGGACAAACCAGUUCUUGACUUUUACCACAGCUCUCACACCUCGACAUGAACAAACACAUGCAGAUUCAGGAACAGAGGGAGUAACACCAAUUCAGCAAAAAGUUCAGCUCCAAAAAGAUACCCCACUGCUAAUUUCAACACAUAUUAAAUAGUUGCAAGUUAACAUUUACUGAAAUGUGUGUCACUUUGGACCAUUGAUACUGUGAGUUAAUACAAGCCCAUGAGAGGGGUUUGUGAUCCGCAGCAGUCCUCUGUGACCCAUGUUUUGGUAUUUCAAGAUGUUCUCCGUGUGUCGCUAACGUCUGUGUGUUGCUAACAUUGUUCUCUCAAGAGCUAAAUCGACAGAGAAAGAAGCAACCUCCUCUCUCUGUCUACUUUAGUCAGACAAGGGAUUGUCAGUACUUUGUUCUUAAAUACUACUGCACUGAUGUGUACAAACUAACAUGAAACAAUCCUAUGCCUUCAACCAAAAAGGUUUUUAAAGGGCAAUCAACAUGUCCAAAAGAUCCAAGGAAGAUCUCCAUGGUGGAGAUGAGAGAAAGCAGUGUAUGGAGAGUUGGGUGAGACUAACUAAAAUAGCCAAAACAUCACUACUUUCCUAUGUAAGAGGGGUUAAACAUCCCAAUCUAAGAGAAGCAGCAAAAACUGACCGAUGGGUUGACUGAGUUACACACUGCCAGUCAGCGGCUUGUGACUUUAUCAACUGAAGCAUACCGUAACUUUGCUGUGUGAUUGUAAAAAGCACAUUUACAUUACAUUGUCUUCAGUCUUAUAUCUGGAGUAUUUCUCCUGUCUUAUCCAGUGUCCUGUGUGAAAUUAAGUAUGCUCUCUCUAAUUCUCUCCCUUUUUCUCCUUUCUCUCUCUCUCUCUCUCUCUCUCUCUCUCUCUCUCUCUCUCUCUCUCGCUCUCUCUCUCUCUCUUUCUCUCUUUCUCUCGGAGGACCUGAGCCCUAGGACCAUGCCUCAGGACUACCUGGCCUUGCCCGAUGACUCCUUGCUGUCCCCAAUACACCUGGUCGUACUGCUGCUCCAGUUUCAACUGUUCUGCCUGCGGCUAUGGAACCCUGACCUGUUCACCGGACGUGCUACUUUGUCCUGGACCUGCUGUUUUCAACUCUAUAGAGACAGCAGGAGCGGUAGAGAUACUCUGAGUGAUCGGCUAUGAAAAGCCAACUGACAUUUACUCCUGAGGUGCUGACCUGUUGCACCCUCUACAACCACUGUGAUUAUUAUUAUUUGACCCGGCUGGUCAUCUAUGAACAUUUUAACAUCUUGGACGUGUUCUGUUAUAAUCUCCACCCGGCACAGCCAGAAGAGGACUGGCCACCCCUCAUAGCCUGGUUCUUCUCUAGUUUUCUUCCUAGGUUUUGGCCUUUCUAGGGAGUAUUUCCUAGCCACCGUGCUUCUACGACUGCAUUGCUUGCUCUUUGGGGUUUUAGGCUGGGUUUCUGUACAGCACUUUGUGACAUCUGCUGAUAUAAUAAGGGCUUUAUAAAUACAUUUGAUUGAUUGAUCAUGUGUCCUAAUUGGAAGUGAAAUGAUGCACCAAAUAUCACACCUAGUUGUUUUAGUUGUCAAACUGAGUUAACUUCUCCUUAGUCCUUUAACAGCUUUUAUGUUUACAUCCAAUGAACCAAAUUAAUUUUAUCACUACCCUGCGCAAUGAGCAAGCCAAUGCCAGGCCCAGCGUGAAGCCAGAUCACUGUUGCUGAAGCAGCACUUGACUGAGGGCCAUGAUGACUUACCACACAGCAUAGUGGUGCAGUCCACCAGACUGUGGAUCCAGGCUGUCCCUGAAUAGUCCGUUCCAAAGUGCAUCUGGAAAUCCACAAAGAAGAUGGAGAUGCAUCUGGAACAGAAGAAAAGGCUCAAGAUGAAGCAAAAUCAUGACAAAUAACAACCAUCUUGCACAUUUCAAAUAGGUUUUGAUCCUCGCAUGUUCUGACUCCAAGCCCACCUGCCUGACCACUCUGUCUGCCCCUGAUCCUGCCUGCCGACCUGUACCUUUGCCCCCCUCUGGAUUACCGACCUCUGCCUUACCCUGACCCUGAGCCUGCCCACUGCCCGAUACCGUUGCCCCACCUCUGGUUUACCUUGUCCUGUCUAUUGCCUGUCCCUGUUGGAAUAUUAAACCAUUGUUUAUUCGACACGGUCUGCAUCUGGGACUUACCUUCAUACCUGAGAGUAUGAACUGGCCAUGACUGACCCAGCAGACCCGGGCCAGCUGCACAACGCAAUCUCCUCCCAAGGAGCCUCCAUUGGUAGGCACUAGGAAUUGCUUCGUGGGCUGAUGGAGGGGUCCAAACGUUGGCUGAGCACCAUGACUGGGCGCCGGAGCAGAAGGUCCAACCCUUUCCCCCAUCUCAUCGACGGCCAACCGGCUUACACGGUGAUGCGUCUCCUGAAGGUUCCACAUCGGGGUUGGGGGUUCCAGUAUAUUGUUGACUGGGAGGGUUAUGGCCCGAAAGAGAGGGGUCCUGGGUCCCCGCCAGGGACAUCCUGGACACAGGCCGCAUUGCAUAUUUUCAGCGCUGACACCCCGGUCAUCCAGUUUUCAGAGUUGUGUCAGGACCAAGCUAGGGGAACUCCAUGACCCUCUCUUCCUGACAGACUUACCUGGUGACGGCACGUGUGCAGACAGUGACCAAGAAGCAGCCGGCCACAAUCAUCCAGCCCCAGCCCCCAUCAGGAGGGGGGACCGCUGGUCUCUUUUUCCCCUGAGCCAUAGCCGCAGCAUGAACCAUGCUUAGAUCCUUUUUCUGUUCCCUCUGUUUUUCUCCUGUUCUCAGUUAAGACCCAGGUACACCUCGCAGACAGACAGCCUGACACAGUCACACCCAGCAUGGGAUUGCACUGGUUGUUGAAGAGGCUGUUCAGUUCACUUCAGUUACACUGUUGUAGAAAACAGGGAGAAGCACAUAUACUAGCUAAGACUAUGAAUAAGUCAAAAGGUGGCUCGGAAUCAUUAACAGGCAUCAACAAAAACACCUCAGACAUCUUCUCUGGGUCUGGGUCUGAAACGUGUCCAGCCCAUUCAGCAUUUGUUGAGGACUCAGCCUACAAACAAGACUAAUCACUGCUGAUGUGUGUGUUGAAAUACUUUACUCCCCCGGCCCAAGCAGAACAGUGAGGUGACAGGGUUAUUGACAUAGGAGUCCAUGAGAGGAUGUGUUUACUUCCAGGGUGUCAGGGAUAACUCGGGGCGAUUACAAUAUUAACUUCAGACCCUAGCUGCCGUCUGCUUUUGUGACCUCUCUGAGCCCGUGGCAUGUGCUGCUCUAAAACACUUCCGAUAUAAACACAUCUCUGCAGCUUUGGUUCCAUUAGGCACUUGACUUGGCUAACCUCCAUUAGUUUAACAGCAAUUCUCUGAAAUGUACUUAAUAAGCAUGUAGCACCAAACGGCAAUCAUGUUUUGAGUGAUGCAUGUCAGUUAAUGUCAGUAUGUAAAAGAAAAAUCCACACAAAAACUAUAUUUUGGUUGUUUUGUUUUUUUUGGUCACCAACCACAUGAUGCAAAAUGCAUCAUCAUCACUUUGCAUCUUGAAAAUUCUAUAUCAUGAAAACUGGACUGCUGACAUGCAAAACAUGUUGCGACUGUAUCAACAAUGUAAUAAUGAAGAAAAUACCAGUGGUAUUUUCUUUUAAAUUAGAAUUUCAGUCUGAUACCAAACACACGAUAUCUAUGAUAUC